GACGAACGCUGGCGGCGUGCUUAACACAUGCAAGUCGAACGGAAAGGCCCUGCUUUUGUGGGGUGCUCGAGUGGCGCACGGGUGAGUAACACGUGAGUAACCUGCCCUUGACUUUGGGAUAACUUCAGGAAACUGGGGCUAAUACCGGAUAGGAGCUCCUGCUGCAUGGUGGGGGUUGGAAAGUUUCGGCGGUUGGGGAUGGACUCGCGGCUUAUCAGCUUGUUGGUGGGGUAGUGGCUUACCAAGGCUUUGACGGGUAGCCGGCCUGAGAGGGUGACCGGCCACAUUGGGACUGAGAUACGGCCCAGACUCCUACGGGAGGCAGCAGUGGGGAAUAUUGCACAAUGGGCGGAAGCCUGAUGCAGCAACGCCGCGUGCGGGAUGACGGCCUUCGGGUUGUAAACCGCUUUCGCCUGUGACGAAGCGUGAGUGACGGUAAUGGGUAAAGAAGCACCGGCUAACUACGUG
rnacentral:rRNA from 1 species